rnacentral:lncRNA from 1 species
GAGGCUUGCCUUUGGAAGCUUUCCAAAGUAUUUAACAUAUUUUUGUAGAAAAAUAAUACUGAUUUAAUCAGAUAACAUAACAUUUUAAUUACGCAAUUACAACAAGUCCUACUGACCAAAACAGGGUUUGCUACAAACAAAACUGACUCUUGAUCAAUAUUCAAGUCAACCAGCUGACACAGAAGGACAUGAGAGUCUAGACGGAGGCUGCCUGACCCAAAGCAGUGAGGGUGGUGGGCAUCCAUGCACUUCGCAGGAGGAGGUGGUCCCUGAAGAGUGCUCUCAUCUCUCAGCACCUGGCACUUAGCAUUAUUUUAAAAGAUAUUUAUUAACCCUUACGUGUAUGAAGGUACGAUACAAACACAAGAGGCCCUGAACUGCUUCUACCUUCCUCCUCUACCCAACCUCCAAAUGUUGGGCCCCAGGGCUUGGAGUCAGGUAGGCCUGGUCUCUAGCACUCCUAUCUUUUCUAUCUAAAUUCAAUAAUUAGCUGACCUCACCCAGUCCCAAAGAUUUAAAUGCCAUCCAGAGACUGAAGACUUUGAAAUGUAAAACUCUAGAUAACAUCUCUCCCAAGCACGUCAAACUUAACAGAAUGUGGAUCAUCCAACUCCCAACCUGUUCUGUCCACCAGACCAAUAACCACUACUACCAUCCACACAGCCACUCAGGCCAAAUGAGUAAGUUGUCCUUGGCUUUCCCAUUUGUAACUCCAUAUCCAAUCUAACAGUAAUUCCUGUCACCUCUCUCUGUUUGUUUCCCUGUCUUCUGUCCUUAAAAUGUAAGCAUCUAGAGGGAAAGGACCCUGUCUUGUUCGAGGAUGUGCCUCCAGCCCCCAAGGCAGUCCCUGACACACAGCAAGUCCUUAACUCACACUUUUUUCCCCCAAGACAGAGUCUUGCUUUGUUGCCCAGGCUGGAGUGCAGUGGUACAAUCUCAGCUCACUGCAAUCUCCGCCUCUUGGGUUCAAGCAGUUUUCCUGCCUCAGCCUCCCGAGAAGCUGGGAUUACAGGCACAUGCCACCACGCCCGACUAAUUUUCGUAUUCUUAGUAGAGAUGGAGUUUCACCAUGUUGGCCAGGCUGGUCUAGAACUCUUGAUCUCGUGAUCUGCCUGCCUCAGCCUCCCAAAGUCCUGGGAUUACAGGCAUGAGCCAAUGCACCUGGCCCAAUUCCCACUAUUAAGUGGAAAACACUCCUAAAAAAACCUCUGAGGCCGGGUGCGGAGGCUCACGCCUGUAAUCCCAGCACUUUGGGAGACCCAGGUGGGUGGAUCACAAAGUCAGGCAGGAGAUAGAGACCAUCCUGGCUAAUACAGUGAAAACCCGUCUCUAUUAAAAAAAAUACAAAAAAUUUGCUGGGUGUGGUGGUGGGUGCCUGUAGUCCCAGCUACUCGGGAGGCUGAGGCAGGAGAAUGGCGUGAACCCAGGAGAUUCUCCUGCCUUAGCCUCCUAAGUAGCUGGGAUUCCAGACGUGUGCCACCAGGCCGGGCUAAUUUUUGUAUUUUUAGAAGAGACAGGGUCUCAUCAUGUUGGUCAGGCUGGUCUCGAAGUCCUGAUCUUGUGAUCCGCCCACCUCGGCGACCCAAAGUGCUGGGAUUACAGGCGUGAGCUGCCAUGCCUGGCCGGGACUCUGCUUUUAAUGUUGCAGCUCGGGGAGUUAAGAAAGGUUCUAAUAGUUUAUUUGCUUGGUUACCUGAAAUAUGGAUUAAAAGGUGGCCCACUGUGAGCAACCUGGAAAUGCCUGAUCUCCCUUGGUUUGAUGUAGAGGAAGGGAUCCAAAAGCUUAAGGAGAUUGGGGUGGUGGAGUGGAUUAGUCCCUUUAGACCUACUCAUCACAGCUGGGAAGGUCCAGAAGAUAUACCCUUGACCAAUGCCUUGUGAAACAGAUUGCUGAGGGCAGCACCUGCAUCUGUGAAAAGCACUGUAAUUGCUCUUCUCUGUAUGUCAGAUCUCAUGGUGGGAAGCACAGUCACUCAACUACUAAAUUUAACUACAAUGGGAAUAAUUGGAUUGCAAAGUUGCAGGGGCCAACUAAGUGGCAGCACUCAACCAUCAAAGGCAAGUGGGCAUAGCUACCACAAUGGGCAGCAGAGGCAAAGUGGCAAUCAGAAUAAUCUGACUCCUGUAGAGCUCUGGCAUUUGCUAAUUAAUCAUGGUGUUCCUAGAAGUGAAACUGAUAGGAAGCCUAAUGCAUUUCUACUUAAUUUAUAUCAGCAGAAAACUUCUAGGUCAAAUGGACAAAAUACUAAGUUGAAUUCUAAAAAUAGAGAAUCAUGGCCCCUCAAUCAAUUUCCGGACUUGAGCCAGUUUACAGAUCCAGAACCCCUUGAAUGAAGGGGAGGCCGGGUCCCCUUGAGGAAGGAUCCCACUACAUUACCAACAAUUUAUGCAGUGAAUCUUUCUCCCAUCCUUCCCCAAGACCUCUGGCCUUUUACCAGGGUAACUGUGCACUGGGGAAAGGGAAAUGAUCAGACAUUUCAGGGACUACAGGAUACUGGCUCUGAGCUGAUGCUGAUUCCAGGGGACCCAAAACGUCACUGUAGUCCUCCAGUUAAAGUAGGGUCUUAUGGAGGUCAGGUAAUUAAUGGAGUUUUAGCUCAGGUGCGACUUACAGUGGGUACAGUGGGUCCCCGGACUCAUCCUGUGGUCAUUUCCCAGUGCCAGAAUGCGUAAUUGGCAUAGGCAUAAUUAGGAGCUGGUAGAACCCCCAGAUUGGCUCCCUGACUGGUAGGGUGAGGGCUAUUAUGGAGGGAAAGUCCAAAUGGAAGCCAUUAGAGCUGCCUCUACCUAGAAAAAUAGUAAAUCAAAAACAAUACCGCAUGCCUAAAGAGACUGCAGAAAUUAAUGCCACCAUCAAGGACUUGAAAGACGCAGGGAUGGUGAUCCCAUUUGGCCUGCGCAGAAGACAUAGAUCUUGGUGAAUGACAGUGGAUUACUGUAAGCUUAACCAACUGGUGACUCCAAUUGCAGCUGCUGUAUCAGAUGUGGUUUCACUGCUUGAGCAAAUUAACAUAUCUCCUGGUACCUGGUAUGCAGCCAUAGACGUGGCAAAUGCCUUUUUCUCCAUUCCUGUCCAUAUGGCCCAUCUGAAGCAAUUUGCCUUCAGCUGGCAAGGCCAGCAAUAUACAUUUACUGUCCUGCCUCAGAGGUAUAUCAACUCUCCAGCUUUGUAUCAUAAUUUAUUCGGAGAGACCUUGAUCACUUUUCAUUUCCACAAGAUAUCACACUGGUCCAUUACGUUGAUGACAUUAUGCUGAGUGGAUCUAGUGAGCAAGACACUGGACUUAUUGGGGAGAUAUUUGCAUGCCAGAGGAUGGGAAAUAAAUCCAACUAAAAUUCAGGGACCUUCCACUUCAGUAAAAUUUCUAGGGAUCCAGUGGUAUGGGGCCUGUCAAGAUAUUCCUUCUAAGGUGAAGGAAAAGUUGCUGCAUUUGGCUCCUCCUACAACCAAGAAAGAGGCACAACGCCUAGUGGACCUAUUUGGAUUUCGGAGGCAACACAUUCCUCAUGUGGGUGUGUUACUCUGGCCCAUUUAUCAAGUGACCCGAAAGGCUGCCAGUUUUGAGUGGGGUCCAGAACAGGAGAAGGCUCUGCAACAGGUCCAGGCUGCUGUGCAAGCUGCUCUGCCACUUGGGCCAUAUGACCCAGCAGAUCCACUAGUGCUUGAAGUGGAUGCUGUUUGGAGCCCUCAGCAGGCCCCCAUAGGUGAAUCACAGAGGAGGCCUCUAGGAUUUUGGAGCAAGGCUCUGCCGCCUUCUGCAGGUAACUACUCUCCUUUUGAGAGACAGCUCUUUGUCUGUUACUGGGCUUUGCUGGAAACUGAACAUUUGACUAUGGGUCAUCAAGUCACCAUGCAACCUGAACUGCCUAUCAUGAAUUGGGUGCCUUCUAACCAAUCUAGCUAUAAAGUGGGUCAUGCACAGCAGCAUUCUAUCAUCAAAUGGAAGUGGUAUAUACGUGAUUGCGCUCGAGCACAUCCUGAAGGCACAAGUAAGUUACAUGAGGAAGUGGCUCAAGUGCCCAUGGUCUCCACUCCUGCCACCCUGCCUUCUCUCCCCUAGCCUGCACCCACGGCCUCAUGGGGAGUUCCCUAUCAUCAGUUGACAGAGGAAGAGAAGACUAGGGCCUGUUCACAGAUGGUUCUGCACGAUAUGCAGGCACCACCCAAAAGUGGACAGCUGCAGCACUACAGCCCUUUUCUAGGACAUCUCUGAAGGACAGAGGUGAAAUGAAAUCUUCCCAGUGGGCAGAACUUCAAGCAGUGCACCUGGUUGUGCACUUUGCAUGGAAGGAGAAAUGGCCAGAUGUGCAAUUAUAUACUGAUUCAUAGGCUGUAGCCAAGAGUUUGGCUGGAUGGUCAGGGACUUGGAUGAAGGAUGAUUGGAAAAUUGGUGACAAAGAAAUGUGGGGAAGAUGUGGAUGGACCCCUCUGAGUGGUCAAAAACUGUGAAGUUAUUUGUAUCCCAUGUGAGUGCUCACCAAAAGGUGACCUCAGCAGAGGAGGAUUUUAAUAAUCAAGUGAAUGGAAUGACCCAUUCUGUGGAUACUACUCAGCCUCUUUCCCCAGCCACCCGUCAUCACCCAAUGGGCCCAUGAACAAAAUGAUCAUAGUGGCAGAGAUGGAGGUUACAUAUGAGCUCAACAACAUGGACUUCCACUCACCAAGGCUGUCCUGGCUACGGCCACUUCUGAGUGCCCAAUUUGCCAGCUGCAGAGACCAACACUGAGUCCUUGAUAUGGCACCAUUCCUCGGGGUGAUCAGCCAGCUACCUAGUGGCAGGUUGAUUAUACUGGACCUC